rnacentral:rRNA from 1 species
UAGGGAAUCUUCGGCAAUGGGGGCAACCCUGACCGAGCAACGCCGCGUGAGUGAAGAAGGUUUUCGGAUCGUAAAGCUCUGUUGUAAGAGAAGAACGUGUGUGAGAGUGGAAAGUUCACACAGUGACGGUAACUUACCAGAAAGGGACGGCUAACUACGUGCCAGCAGCCGCGGUAAUACGUAGGUCCCGAGCGUUGUCCGGAUUUAUUGGGCGUAAAGCGAGCGCAGGCGGUUUAAUAAGUCUGAAGUUAAAGGCAGUGGCUUAACCAUUGUUCGCUUUGGAAACUGUUAAACUUGAGUGCAGAAGGGGAGAGUGGAAUUCCAUGUGUAGCGGUGAAAUGCGUAGAUAUAUGGAGGAACACCGGUGGCGAAAGCAGCUCUCUGGUCUGUAACUGACGCUGAGGCUCGAAAGCGUGGGGAGCAAACAGG